AGGCGCUGCUGCCUCCGCUGCUGAAAAUUCACUCUCUGUGAAAGACCGAGAAAGUGUUCGUCGCUCCGGCCAAAAAAUUUGCAAUUGGCCCGGACGAGAGGAAUUGAAAUGAAUAUGCAACGCCAAGAGAAACGGGAAAAACAAGCAAAGAAUUCACGGCAAAUUAUUUAAAAAGAGUGUGCGAAUAGACGGGCGACGACA